rnacentral:rRNA from 1 species
AACGAACGCUGGCGGCAUGCCUAAUACAUGCAAGUCGAACGAGAUCUUCGGAUCUAGUGGCGCACGGGUGCGUAACGCGUGGGAAUCUGCCCUUGGGUUCGGAAUAACGUCGGGAAACUGACGCUAAUACCGGAUGAUGACGUAAGUCCAAAGAUUUAUCGCCCAAGGAUGAGCCCGCGUAGGAUUAGCUAGUUGGUGAGGUAAAGGCUCACCAAGGCGACGAUCCUUAGCUGGUCUGGGAGGAUGAUCAGCCACACUGGGACUGGGACACGGCCCAGACUCCUACGGGAGGCAGCAGUAGGGAAUAUUGGACAAUGGGGGCAACCCUGGUCCAGCAAUGCCGCGUGAGUGAUGAAGGCCUUAGGGUUGUAAAGCUCUUUUACCCGGGAUGAUAAUGACAGUACCGGGAGAAUAAGCCCCGGCUAACUCCGUGCCAGCCGCCGCGGUAA